rnacentral:rRNA from 1 species
UGGGCAACCUGCCCCUAGCUCUGGGAUAACUCCGGGAAACCGGGGCUAAUACCGGAUACGACCUCGAGCGGCAUCUAUCGAGGUGGAAAGUUUUUCGGCUAGAGAUGGGCCCGCGGCCUAUCAGCUUGUUGGUGAGGUAACGGCCCACCAAGGCGACGACGGGUAGCCGGCCUGAGAGGGCGACCGGCCACACUGGGACUGAGACACGGCCCAGAUUCCUACGGGAGGCA